UUGUCUCAAAGAUUAAGCCAUGCAUGUCUAAGUAUAAGCAACUUGUACUGUGAAACUGCGAAUGGCUCAUUAAAUCAGUUAUCGUUUAUUUGAUAGUACCUUACUACAUGGAUACCUGUGGUAAUUCUAGAGCUAAUACAUGCUAAAAACCCCGACUUCAGGAAGGGGUGUAUUUAUUAGAUAAAAAACCAACGCCCUUCGGGGCUCCUUGGUGAAUCAUAAUAACUUAACGAAUCGCAUGGCCUUGCGCCGGCGAUGGUUCAUUCAAAUUUCUGCCCUACCAACUUUCGAUGGUAGGAUAGUGGCCUACCAUGGUGGCAACGGGUAACGGGGAAUUAGGGUUCGAUUCCGGAGAGGGAGCCUGAGAAACGGCUACCACAUCCAAGGAAGGCAGCAGGCGCGCAAAUUACCCAAUCCCGAUACGGGGAGGUAGUGACAAUAAAUACUGAUACGGGGCUCUUUUGGGUCUCGUAAUUGGAAUGAGAACAAUUUAAAUCCCUUAACGAGGAACAAUUGGAGG
rnacentral:rRNA from 1 species